rnacentral:siRNA from 1 species
UCACGUGCAAUUCCUUCUGACC